CGUACUCCAAUUUGGCCCGUUUAGGCCCAAUUUGAAAGUACGCAAGAGUUUCUCGACUUUCUUCGACCAAGUUCGCGAACCUUCUCCUCCGGGGAGAACUCAGUCGGAAUCUCUUUCUCCCGCGAAUUGCAGUUAGUGACAAAAACAGAAAGCCUUGGGGUAGCAUUAAUUAUCACUUCAGAGGCUUAACGGGGGAAGGAGGUAGUUUGCAUCAAGUUACUUGUGUAUAACAUUAGCUGCGGUAUUACGCCUUUGUGUUGUUAGGAUCGAAAUAAUCAGCAGGGCGGCGGAGGAGGUGAAUAUGAGUUAAGAUUUAAUAAUGUACUUCUGACAAUGUUAACAAGAACUCCCAGACUGUUUUUUCAGGAACGAUGGAAGAAAGAAACCGAUACAAAUAGAAGCUGAAACCUUUACAAAGUCAGGCAAUGGUUCAACUGUAAACUUUGAUGUGAAGUUCACAUUUUUUUCCUUGUAAAUAAAUUACUAUAAUAUUACAGUUGAAGAGCUUUCUGCGGUAGUGUUAUGUCUUUUA